UGAGGAAUAUUGGUCAAUGGACGAGAGUCUGAACCAGCCAAGUAGCGUGCAGGAUGACGGCCCUAUGGGUUGUAAACUGCUUUUGUUUGGGAAUAAUCGACAUUACGUGUAAUGUUUUGCAUGUACCAUUCGAAUAAGGACCGGCUAAUUCCGUGCCAGCAGCCGCGGUAAUACGGAAGGUCCAGGCGUUAUCCGGAUUUAUUGGGUUUAAAGGGAGUGUAGGCGGUUGGUUAAGCGUGUUGUGAAAUGUAGAUGCUCAACAUCUGACUUGCAGCGCGAACUGGCUGACUUGAGUACACACAACGUAGGCGGAAUUCAUGGUGUAGCGGUGAAAUGCUUAGGUAUCAUGAAGAACUCCCAUUGCGGAGGCAGCUUACGGGAGUGUUACUGACGCUUAAGCUCGAAGGUGCGGGUAUCGAACAGG
rnacentral:rRNA from 1 species